UACAGAGGUCCCAAGCGUUGUUCGGAUUCACUGGGCGUAAAGGGUGCGUAGGUGGUGAGGUAAGUCGGAUGUGAAAUCUCCGAGCUCAACUCGGAAAUGGCAUUGGAAACUACCUUGCUAGAGGAUUGGAGGGGAGACUGGAAUGCUUGGUGUAGCAGUGAAAUGCGUAGAUAUCAAGCGGAACACCAGUGGCGAAGGCGAGUCUCUGGACAAUUCCUGACGCUGAGGAGCGAAAGCGUGGGGAGCGAACAGG
rnacentral:rRNA from 1 species